ensembl:lncRNA
CUCAGGCUUACAAUCUUGUUUUUCCUAUAUAGCAGGUUAAAUGAGAUUCUUUUCAUCUAUGGCUCAUCAAAAGAUAUGAUGACAGAUCCCUCACCAUGAUGGAGUAGAGGGUUUCUGCCAUCAGAUCCCUCACCACGACAGACUUGAGGUUUCUGCCAUCAGAUCCCUCAUUACAGACUGUAUGCUGACGGACUUUCCUGGGCCUGCUACCGGAGACCUGCUGCUUCCUCCCGGGCUUACUCUGUGGCUUCUUCCUGGACCCACGUGGUACCUGCACCCUCUCGUUGCCCAAGACCGGCCUCACUGCUCCUGCCCUUUGGCCUCGGACCAUCGGAACGUCGUGCAACGGGACUACUGCCAGAUCCUGGUGGUGACUAUCCCUCCUUUACACAAUUCUUGCCUCUUUCUAUCUUUUCUAUCUCUCGCCUUCCCUUCCCCAUCACCCCAAUCCGUAAUAGUGUCUGUCCU